rnacentral:rRNA from 1 species
UACGAAGGGGGCUAGCGUUGCUCGGAAUCACUGGACGUAAAGGGUGCGUAGGCGGGUCUUUAAGUCAGGGGUGAAAUCCUGGAGCUCAACUCCAGAACUGCCUUUGAUACUGAAGAUCUUGAGUUCGGGAGAGGUGAGUGGAACUGCGAGUGUAGAGGUGAAAUUCGUAGAUAUUCGCAAGAACACCAGUGGCGAAGGCGGCUUACUGGACCGGUUCUGACGCUGAGGCGCGAAAGCGUGGGGAGCAAACAGG